UUAAGCGACUAAGCGUACACGGUGGAUGCCCUGGCAGUCAGAGGCGAUGAAGGACGUGCUAAUCUGCGAUAAGCGUCGGUGAGGUGAUAUGAACCGUUAUAACCGGCGAUUUCCGAAUGGGGAAACCCAGUGUGAUUCGUCACACUAUCAUUAACUGAAUCCAUAGGUUAAUGAGGCGAACCGGGGGAACUGAAACAUCUAAGUACCCCGAGGAAAAGAAAUCAACCGAGAUUCCCCCAGUAGCGGCGAGCGAACGGGGAGGAGCCCAGAGCCUGAAUCAGUGUGUGUGUUAGUGGAAGCGUCUGGAAAGGCGCGCGAUACAGGGUGACAGCCCCGUACACAAAAAUGCACAUAUUGUGAGCUCGAUGAGUAGGGCGGGACACGUGGUAUCCUGUCUGAAUAUGGGGGGACCAUCCUCCAAGGCUAAAUACUCCUGACUGACCGAUAGUGAACCAGUACCGUGAGGGAAAGGCGAAAAGAACCCCGGCGAGGGGAGUGAAAAAGAACCUGAAACCGUGUACGUACAAGCAGUGGGAGCCUCUUAAUGGGGUGACUGCGUACCUUUUGUAUAAUGGGUCAGCGACUUAUAUUCUGUAGCAAGGUUAACCGAAUAGGGGAGCCGAAGGGAAACCGAGUCUUAACUGGGCGUUAAGUUGCAGGGUAUAGACCCGAAACCCGGUGAUCUAGCCAUGGGCAGGUUGAAGGUUGGGUAACACUAACUGGAGGACCGAACCGACUAAUGUUGAAAAAUUAGCGGAUGACUUGUGGCUGGGGGUGAAAGGCCAAUCAAACCGGGAGAUAGCUGGUUCUCCCCGAAAGCUAUUUAGGUAGCGCCUCGUGAAUUCAUCUCCGGGGGUAGAGCACUGUUUCGGCAAGGGGGUCAUCCCGACUUACCAACCCGAUGCAAACUGCGAAUACCGGAGAAUGUUAUCACGGGAGACACACGGCGGGUGCUAACGUCCGUCGUGAAGAGGGAAACAACCCAGACCGCCAGCUAAGGUCCCAAAGUCAUGGUUAAGUGGGAAACGAUGUGGGAAGGCCCAGACAGCCAGGAUGUUGGCUUAGAAGCAGCCAUCAUUUAAAGAAAGCGUAAUAGCUCACUGGUCGAGUCGGCCUGCGCGGAAGAUGUAACGGGGCUAAACCAUGCACCGAAGCUGCGGCAGCGACACUAUGUGUUGUUGGGUAGGGGAGCGUUCUGUAAGCCUGUGAAGGUGGCCUGUGAGGGUUGCUGGAGGUAUCAGAAGUGCGAAUGCUGACAUAAGUAACGAUAAAGCGGGUGAAAAGCCCGCUCGCCGGAAGACCAAGGGUUCCUGUCCAACGUUAAUCGGGGCAGGGUGAGUCGACCCCUAAGGCGAGGCCGAAAGGCGUAGUCGAUGGGAAACAGGUUAAUAUUCCUGUACUUGGUGUUACUGCGAAGGGGGGACGGAGAAGGCUAUGUUGGCCGGGCGACGGUUGUCCCGGUUUAAGCGUGUAGGCUGGUUUUCCAGGCAAAUCCGGAAAACCAAGGCUGAGGCGUGAUGACGAGGCACUACGGUGCUGAAGCGACAAAUGCCCUGCUUCCAGGAAAAGCCUCUAAGCAUCAGGUAACAUCAAAUCGUACCCCAAACCGACACAGGUGGUCAGGUAGAGAAUACCAAGGCGCUUGAGAGAACUCGGGUGAAGGAACUAGGCAAAAUGGUGCCGUAACUUCGGGAGAAGGCACGCUGAUAUGUAGGUGAAGCGACUUGCUCGUGGAGCUGAAAUCAGUCGAAGAUACCAGCUGGCUGCAACUGUUUAUUAAAAACACAGCACUGUGCAAACACGAAAGUGGACGUAUACGGUGUGACGCCUGCCCGGUGCCGGAAGGUUAAUUGAUGGGGUUAGCGGUAACGCGAAGCUCUUGAUCGAAGCCCCGGUAAACGGCGGCCGUAACUAUAACGGUCCUAAGGUAGCGAAAUUCCUUGUCGGGUAAGUUCCGACCUGCACGAAUGGCGUAAUGAUGGCCAGGCUGUCUCCACCCGAGACUCAGUGAAAUUGAACUCGCUGUGAAGAUGCAGUGUACCCGCGGCAAGACGGAAAGACCCCGUGAACCUUUACUAUAGCUUGACACUGAACAUUGAGCCUUGAUGUGUAGGAUAGGUGGGAGGCUUUGAAGUGUGGACGCCAGUCUGCAUGGAGCCGACCUUGAAAUACCACCCUUUAAUGUUUGAUGUUCUAACGUGGGCCCCUGAUCGGGGUUGCGGACAGUGUCUGGUGGGUAGUUUGACUGGGGCGGUCUCCUCCUAAAGAGUAACGGAGGAGCACGAAGGUUGGCUAAUCCUGGUCGGACAUCAGGAGGUUAGUGCAAUGGCAUAAGCCAGCUUGACUGCGAGCGUGACGGCGCGAGCAGGUGCGAAAGCAGGUCAUAGUGAUCCGGUGGUUCUGAAUGGAAGGGCCAUCGCUCAACGGAUAAAAGGUACUCCGGGGAUAACAGGCUGAUACCGCCCAAGAGUUCAUAUCGACGGCGGUGUUUGGCACCUCGAUGUCGGCUCAUCACAUCCUGGGGCUGAAGUAGGUCCCAAGGGUAUGGCUGUUCGCCAUUUAAAGUGGUACGCGAGCUGGGUUUAGAACGUCGUGAGACAGUUCGGUCCCUAUCUGCCGUGGGCGCUGGAGAACUGAGGGGGGCUGCUCCUAGUACGAGAGGACCGGAGUGGACGCAUCACUGGUGUUCGGGUUGUCAUGCCAAUGGCACUGCCCGGUAGCUAAAUGCGGAAGAGAUAAGUGCUGAAAGCAUCUAAGCACGAAACUUGCCCCGAGAUGAGUUCUCCCUGAGACUUAGAGUCUCCUGAAGGAACGUUGAAGACGACGACGUUGAUAGGCCGGGUGUGUAAGCGCAGCGAUGCGUUGAGCUAACCGGUACUAAUGAACCGUGAGGCUUAACCUU
rnacentral:rRNA from 1 species